UUCCGGUUGAUUCCUGCCGGACCUGACUGCUAUCGGAUUGAUACUAAGCCAUGCGAGUCAUUGUAGCAAUACAAGGCAUACGGCUCAGUAACGCGUAGUCAACCUAACCUAUGGACGGAAAUAACCUCGGGAAACUGAGAAUAAUGUCCGAUAGAACACUAUACCUGGAAUGGUUUGUGUUCCAAAUGAUUUAUCGCCGUAGGAUGGGACUGCGGCCUAUCAGUUUGUUGGUGAGGUAAUGGCCCACCAAGACUAUUACAGGUACGGGCUCUGAGAGGAGUAGCCCGGAGAUGGGUACUGAGACACGGACCCAGGCCCUAUGGGGCGCAGCAGGCGAGAAAACUUUGCAAUGUGCGAAAGCACGACAAGGUUAAUCCGAGUGAUUUGUGCUAAACGAAUCUUUUGUUAGUCUUAGAACCACUAACGAAUAAGGGGUGGGCAAGUUCUGGUGUCAGCCGCCGCGGUAAAACCAGCACCUCAAGUGGUCAGGAUGAUUAUUGGGCCUAAAGCAUCCGUAGCCGGCUCUGUAAGUUUUCGGUUAAAUCUGUACGCUCAACGUACAGGCUGCCGGGAAUACUGCAGAGCUAGGGAGUGGGAGAGGUAGACGGUACUCGGAAGGAAGGGGUAAAAUCCUUUGAUCUUUUGAUGACCACCUGUGGCGAAGGCGGUCUACCAGAACACGUCCGACGGUGAGGGAUGAAAGCUGGGGGAGCAAACCGGAUUAGAUACCCGGGUAGUCCCAGCUGUAAACUAUGCAAACUCAGUGAUGCAUUGACUUGUGGUCAAUGCAGUGCUGCAGGGAAGCCGUUAAGUUUGCCGCCUGGGAAGUACGUACGCAAGUAUGAAACUUAAAGGAAUUGGCGGGGGAGCACCACAAGGGGUGAAGCCUGCGGUUCAAUUGGAUUCAACGCCGGA
rnacentral:rRNA from 1 species